UACGGAGGGUGCAAGCGUUAUCCGGAUUCACUGGGUUUAAAGGGUGCGUAGGCGGGCAGGUAAGUCAGUGGUGAAAUCUCCGGGCUUAACCCGGAAACUGCCGUUGAUACUAUCUGUCUUGAAUAUCGUGGAGGUAAGCGGAAUAUGUCAUGUAGCGGUGAAAUGCUUAGAUAUGACAUAGAACACCGAUUGCGAAGGCAGCUUACUACAUAGUUAUUGACACUGAGGCACGAAAAGCGUGGGGAUCAAACAGG
rnacentral:rRNA from 1 species